UCGGGAAUUUUGGGCAAUGGGCGAAAGCCUGACCCAGCAACGCCGCGUGAGGGAUGAAGUAUUUCGGUAUGUAAACCUCGAAAGAAUGGGAAGAAUAAAUGACGGUACCAUUUAUAAGCUCCGGCUAACUAUGUGCCAGCAGCCGCGGUAAUACGUAGGGAGCAAGCGUUGUUCGGAUUUACUGGGCGUAAAGGGCGCGUAGGCGGCGCGGUAAGUCACUUGUGAAAUCUCUGAGCUUAACUCAGAACGGCCAAGUGAUACUGCUGUGCUAGAGUGCGGAAGAGGCAACCGGAAUUCUUGGUGUAGCGGUGAAAUGCGUAGAUAUCAAGAGGAACACCUGAGGCGAAGGCGGGUUGCUGGGCCGACACUGACGCUGAUGCGCGAAAGCCAGGGGAGCAAACG
rnacentral:rRNA from 1 species